GUGGAUUAGAUACCCGGGUAGUCCGCGCUGUAAACGUUGGGUGCUAGGCGUCGUGGGUAUUGACCCCCGCGGUGCCGAAGCUAACGCAUUAAGCACCCCGCCUGGGGAGUACGGUCGCAAGACUAAAACUCAAAGGAAUUGACGGGGGCCCGCACAAGCGGUGGAGCAUGUGGUUCAAUUCGAAGCAACGCGAAGAACCUUACCUGGGUUUGACAUCUGGGGAACCUCUCUGAAAGGAGAGGGUGCCUUCGGGAGCCCCAAGACAGGUGCUGCACGGCUGUCGUCAGCU
rnacentral:rRNA from 1 species